rnacentral:misc_RNA from 1 species
GAGAGAGAGAAAGAGAGAGAGAGGAAUAGAGAAAGAGACAGACCUAAGGAGGAAAGAGAGAUAUGGAGAGAGAGGGAGACACAGUGAGAGAAAGAGGGAGAGGGAGAGAUGAAAAAAGACGCAUGGGAAAAUCAUUCUGUCUCUAUCUCUCUCCAUAUCGUUUAUUCUCUCUCUCUCUCUCUAUGCCUCUCUCUCAAUCUAUCGUUACCUAAUCUCCACCUCUCUGUGCCUACUCUCCACAUAUCUCUCUCUCUCUCUCUCUCAUUAAUUGAACGGUCUUCCUUUUCACGCUUAGCAAUCCAUCAUGGCGGACCCUUCUAGACCCGCUACUGGCUACCCUGUUCACCCGGCCCAACAUCCCAACGGCUACCCUCCGCCGCAAUCUGCCACAGCCUAUGCACCGCCGCCGCCCAAUAACCCCUACUAUUACAAUCAACCGCCAGCAUAUCCCAACCCACGCGCCGCCCUAAUCCGCCGCUUAAUUGCAGCUCUUAUUGUCGUCACCGUCCUAUUCUUAACCAUUCUCUUCAUAUGCUGGCUCGUCAUCCAGCCCCACCGCCCCGAAUUUCAUGUAACGUCUUUUUCUGUCUCCAACUUGAACGUAUCCACAUCCUCGCAGAGACUGACAGGCAACUGGAACGCCCGCUUCCAGGUUUAUAACCCGAACAAGAAACUGAAAAUCUCCUACGAUGAAAUUAUGUCCUCGAUUCUUUACAAAUCGGAGAUUUUAUCACAGACACGAAUCCCACCCUUCAAACAGGACACCAAGAAUCAUACUACCAUGGAUGCAGAGUUCUCGGUGGUGGAUUCUUACGUGGACGAGCGGGUGGUGAAUGGUAUCAACGGGGACAGGGCAAACGGUGCUGUGGGUUUCGAGGUGCGGGUGGUGGCUGAUGUUGGAUUUAAGGUAGGUGGGUUCAGAGCGCGGCGGCGUUUGCUAAGAGUUUGGUGCGACAAUGUGUCCAUUGGACUUACGGCUAAUGGUAGAUCGGGGAACUUGACUGGGGGAGCAAGGAAAUGCAAGGUUUUUGCGUGAGUAAAAUUUGGAGCCGUUAGUUUGAUCCUGUUAUCUUGCUGACUAACUUGAAGUAUAAUUUCAUUUCGAGAAAAGGAUAAAAUAAUAUCUUCUGAUGCUGGUAACCGAUGAGUGUAGCUGUACAUGAAUUUAGGCUUUUGAAGCUAGUGAACUCUACUUUUAUUGUUGUAUAGUGUUUUUAAUUGAUGGUAAUUUGAUUUAUGCAGUUUAAUUGCAUAUGCUGUUUCUAAAAUUGAUCUUAAUUCCCAAUGGUAUCUUUUUCUGUUUCAAUGAAAAAUGGAGUUUAAGC